CUGGGGCUUGGUAAGCUCUGGAGCCUGGGCUCCAGGCCAGCUCGCUGCCAACCUCCACCUGAGACCACCCCACCCCCAACCCCCUUCCUUCUCUCCCCUGCUGCCGAGGCGCGCCCUUCCGGAGUGAAACUUUGGUUUCUCACGACCCGGAAGGCUUGAAGCAAACCUGCAAUUACUCACUGCCUGGUCUGUGCGGGCUGCAGCUCUCAGACUCAGGAUGAGGUGGCGUCUCUCCUCCGCGAUGGCUGCCCCUGUCUGCUCAUCCUCACCUGGCCUUCAGCAGGUGCUCAGCUGACAUCGGUGAGGGAAUGGGAGUGAUUCGUCAUCACAGUAACCGUGUACUUCAGAGAUGGGAUCUUUCUACGUCACCCAGGCUGGAAUGCAAUGGUUAUUCACAGGUGUGAUCAUAGCUGGUCUUGACCUCGUGGGCUCAAGUGAUCCUCCUGCCUCAGCCUCCUGAACAGCUGGGACUACAGGUGUGUGCCACCACAUUUGGCUUACCAUUAUUUUAGAAGGACUUACACCUGUCUUGCUAUCUGGAGUCUGCAGAUUUCUUACCCAAGGUAAGCUCAAGCAGGGCCUGUUGUCUGGAACAAGACCUGUUCAAAAUGUUUGCCUUAAUGCUACAGUAGUAAUGGUGAUAGUCAAUAGUAGCUUGCUAUGGGUCAGGUACUGUUGUGAGAACAGAAGCUCUCAA
rnacentral:lncRNA from 1 species